UGAUGGCUACAAAGAUGUCGAUGAAUCGGACAGUGCUCUCUUAUGUGCUGCUGUCAACCAACCUAUUAGCGUGGGCAUGGAUGGCUCUGCUCUUGACUUCCAGCUCUACACAUCUGUAGGUCUUACUGCUAAUUUAUCAUUUACAUUUACGAAUCCGAAUACGAAAAUGUAAACGAUGGUAAUUUGAAUUUGUUCAGGGAAUAUAUGCUGGGGAUUGCUCGGAUGAUCCAGAUGACAUUGACCAUGCAGUUCUGAUAGUUGGCUAUGGCUCUGAAGAUAGUGAAGACUACUGGAUUUGUAAGAAUUCAUGGGGAACAAGCUGGGGAAUGGAGGGGUACUUCUACAUAAAGAGGAACACUGAUUUACCAUAUGGAGAAUGCGCCAUCAAUGCCAUGGCUUCCUAUCCGACCAAAGAGUCUUCUUCACCAUCUCCUUAUCCAUCCCCAGCUGUUCCACCACCGCCGCCGCCCCCACCAUCCCCGCCACCGCCUCCCCCUCCCUCCCCACCACCUCCCUCUCCUGGCCCUUCCCCUAGUGAGUGCGGUGACUUUUCCUAUUGCCCGAGCGAUGAGACUUGCUGUUGCAUAUAUGAGUUCUAUGAUUUUUGCCUGAUCUACGGCUGCUGUGAAUACGAGAACGCCGUUUGCUGCACUGGAACAGAGUACUGCUGCCCCAGUGACUACCCCAUUUGCGAUGUGGAAGAAGGCCUAUGUCUCAAGGUAUAUAUGACUAUCCCAUCAGUGUUUCUGCUUUUGUUCUUGGGAACGUUAUAAUUCACCUUAUCUGUUUGUAUGUUUUUUGUAUUACAGAACCAGGGAGACUACCUAGGAGUAGCAGCAAAGAAGAGAAAGAUGGCGAAGCACAAGUUCCCCUGGACUAAAAUAGAAGAAACACAGAAGACAUACCAACCUCUGGAGUGGAAGAGGAACAGGUUUGCUGCGAUGCGUUGAGAAGGGGAAAGAUGAAUGAGACUUAUGAGUUUGAAUUUUAAAGAUUGUCAGUCAUUUGUCCUAUUUCUUCCUCCCCAGGGGGAGCGACCAUUACAUUGUCCUGUUUUGAAUGUAUGGUCUGAUGCACAUUGGACAUAUGUAGUAAGCAUAAUCAACAGCAGAAGAUGGGAAAAUUUGAUUUCUUUUCUACGGGUAAUGUAUUGGAACACUAUCUUUAUCGUUUGCGAUUGUAUUUCCCUGUUUGGUUGUUUGUCCUACCUUGCAGCACAUGCCCUGUCAUAUAAUUACAAUACAGGGUUCAGUAAUUCAUCCUGCAAAAAGGCUAUCAGGUGAGAAUUUAGAAUCUUCAAUGAAAAUGUCCCUGGAAAUCUCAGAUACAAGCCUAGUGGGCUAAAAACUGUGGGGCGAGAGGAGUUUAGCAGCUAACUGUGGCCAUGGACUAGGCCACGAAAAUAGAUGGAUUUCAUUGAGGGCUUGAAAACUGCUUUUUAAAAAUUAUUUUUGAAAAUGUCUGCAAUCUCUUCAUUUCCUGAGAAAAAAAAAAAAAGAGAACAUUAACUUUUAUAUUGUUUUCAAAUUACCCUCUUUUAUAUUACAAAAAAGGCUGUGAGGACUGAGGGCUAAUCAAUAUUUUUCAUUCACUUGGCUCGACUAGUAGGUAGGGAAGCAUAAAAAUGGGAAGAAGCCUUGGAUUGAGAUACAAUGUUCCCCUUAAAUGAAAAGCUGACUGUGGUUGGACCUUCCAUGUCCACCUAUAUCAUAUCGUUGAACAUAAAUUAUUAUCAAAUAUGACAUGAACUCAAAAAAGAAUUAGGUAUGAUAUGACUUUAAAACAAUUUGCUAAAACUUCAAUGUUACACAAUUUGUUUUGAACUUUGAAGUGAGGGGACCCCAAACAUGCAGAGGAAUUUUUGUGAUCCUUUGCAUGUCUACACAAGGAAGGGCCUGCGUGACUCUGGUGUGUGAACAAGACUGGGUUGUCUUUUACUCAAAGCUCUUUCUUAUAAUGCAGGGUAGGCACCUUUCCUUAUGAAAGAUUCUAACUUGACUCGAUUAAAGUCAAUAAUGGCGGACCCCCUAAAGCCAUGAAAAGCUUUCCGCGGGCCACGUGGACCGGACCUACUCACAUGGGUUGAAUUCCAAGCUUUGAUCUGAUGGAUCUAGGUCUUCAACCAACACUUUGUAGUGCUUUUAUACCCCAUUACAUUCUUAAAAAAAAAAAAAAAAAAAUUUAAAUUGCAUAUGAUUUUUUUUUUUUUUUAAUAUCCAUGAUUAUCUCGUAGAGAUUAGGGUCUCAUUGAUAAUUUUUGUAAAUAUACUCCAUGUACUAGCUUACAAGUUUGUAAGAAUCAUUCUCCUCAAAAUAUCUAUGACUCUUAUUUUGUCCAACAAUAGGUUAUUAGUAUUAUUUUUUAUUUCUAAAAAUAGAAAACUUGGCCUUAUUUGUUUCUACCUAAGUCUCAUUCCCUUAUGCUUUAGUCCAAUAACUUAUAUUUUAUUGUACAUUUUCAAAGGUUCAAAUUCAAUGUUCAAUAGAGACCAAUUUAAUACCUUAGAAUUUUCCAAGAAGAAAAAAAUGUAAGUGAAAAAGAUUUACACUAUGAUUUUUUGUAUUUGCAACCCUCUUCGUGUAGACUAUUUUUUUCUUUUCAUUUUGAAAGAAUAUGAAAGCAUAUUUGGACCCUUUUUUUUCCAUUUAAUUUUUUGGAAACAAAGAAUUUUUUUGAUAACUAUUUUAAAAAAUAAUUUUUAAAAAUUGCUCUCUUACAUUUGUAAAAUAAAAGUUUAUUUGAAAACUUAAAAUAUUUUUAACCUAUUUUUAAAUAUGUUUUUAAAAUAAUCAUAUUUGUAUAAUUAUUUUUUAAAACAAUUGUCAUAAAACAACUAAAAGAUAUUUUCCCAAAAUAUUUUGUAUUUUAUUUUUUGAGAAUUUUUUUUGAAGAAAGUAAAAAAUAAAAAAUAAAAAAAUAAAAAUCAUAACAUGAUAUUUAUAUUAUAUAAAUUUUUAACUAUAUUUCUUUUUAUUUAUUUUUAAAAAUUAGUGAAAAAUUAAAAUCAAGUAAGAUUUUAUAUAUUUCAUUUAUUAAGAAAUACUUGUCAUUUUUCUUAAUCAUAAGCAUUUUCAAGAAAACAAAAAUGGGAAGUAAAAUCAUAAAAUGAAAAUUGAAAAUAAGAACUUGACCAUUUAAGGGGUACUUACCAUAUUAAAUGUGGGUCGGUCCCUCAUUUAAAUAUUCUACUUCCCCCAACCGCAUCUAUGUCCGUGACCAACCCCCCUGAUUCCUCUCUUUUCCUUUUUAUAUUAUUAUGCUUGCUUUAUCAUACCUUAUCAAAUUUAUAGUAAUACUAUCUAUUGUGAGAAAUUAUUAAUAUUUUAUUUUAAUUUAUAUUAAAAAUAAUAAUAAAAAGUUACCAAUUUAAUAUGUCGGUUAAAGACAAAAAUGGAAAAACAGGGUAGAAUGAUGGCAAGGGAUGAAUAUGGCACACGACAAACGCGUGCGAAUGCCUCAAUGGCCAAGAGCCUUAUCUCGGUCUCUCUGGUCUCUAGUCUACACGAAAACGAUUGUGAAAGCAAAAGUAUAUGUAGAGAGCGGAAUUGGAGUGAGAACUUUCUCGCUUUCUCUCUCUUCUUCCUUCUUUUUGUCUCUUUACUCCUGAAGUUUCGGCAGGAUCCCCGGCGACACCGCUCGGUACUGCAUCUCCACAGGUAUGCCUAUCUCUUGGUUCCAUCUCUUUCACCCGGCCGCUGUCUUUGAUUCUUGUUUUUUGGUUUUUAUUUUAUUCGAGCCGAACAACUUUGAAUAAUUGUAUGCAAAAUGGUGAAUCCGGCUAUUUCGGUUUCAAUGGGUUUUCAACUGAAUUUUUUCGUGAAUUUGAGUUCGCUGUCGAGGAAAUGGGUGGUUUUGGUUUGGGAUUCAAGCUUUUGAGUUACCGGACAAGUUUUUCUUGAAUUUCGAUUUUGUGCCUCUGAACUCAACUCAGCUAAAUCUAACACAACUGAUUCUGUUUUUGCUAACAAAGCGGUAUUAAUUUCUUUUUCCUUUUUUUUUUUCCCCUUUGCUUCUCCUCAGUUUUCUCAAUAACCAAACUGUACUUUUACUUUAUUUUUGGUUAUACUCCGUAGAUCAUAAAGUUAUAUGUUUCUGAUAUUCAAGUGGCUUCAUCGUUCGUUUUCUGUUUGGCUGUGAAGUGUGUUCGAAUCAUUUCAUUUGAUAGUAUCAUUAAAUUGAACUGUAGUAUAUAUUAGUUUGGAAAUUAGACUUUUCAACAAUUAUUUUCAGAUUUCUGUGGAUAAUAGGGGAUACAGAGUAGAUUGUUUUGUUCGCUAUCUUUUUUCAUUGUUUAUUGAUUUUGAUAGACUGAUGAACUUUGAAUUAGAGGAGAAGUGCGGAGAACCAACUCUACAGAGAGUUCAUGGAGGGAAAGCAAUUGAAUUUUAGUGCACCACUUCUAUCAGUGAGGCGAAUUUCAUCGACAUUGGGUUCUUCAGAUGGACAGAAAAAGAAGAUGAUUGAAAAUCCGCGGCCCUAUAGACAGAUUUCUAUUCCUUCUUACAUACCAUACUCCAGCGUCGAUCAGGUGACAGAACCAGUUGCAGUCCCUUUUCGCUGGGAGCAGAUUCCGGGAAGAGCCAAGGAUGGAAGUGAACCAGAGCCCCAGUUGCAUGAUGAAGAGCUUUCAAGCACUCCAAGGGUUCCACCAGGGAGGGUUUUUGAUGUUAUACAGAAGCCUGCAGAAAUUGAAUCUGACAAUCGGAAUAUUUUUAGGCCCCAAAAUGAAACAUCUUCCUUGGAUGAAAAUUUUACUAACUUGGAGGGAUUACACGAGGAAGGAGAUUCUGAUAACGAUAGUGGCAGCGAUGCCUAUUCUGAUGCGGUUGACUCACUGUCCCCAACGAAUUCAUUGUCUUUAAGCUGUAGUGUUAGUGGUUUGAGUGGGUCUGAUGGUCCAGAUGUCAAACCUUCUGGAACCUUCUCCAUAGAUCCACAAACUCGAGAUCUUAUGAUGAAUCGCUUCUUACCUGCAGCAAAGGCAAUGGUCUUGGAAACACCUCACUACGCUUCAAGGAAGCAAUCUGUGGUACUUGAACAGCCUAGACAGGUUAAAAGGGUGAUCAGCGAGGAUACAAAACCUUCUCUUAAUAAAUAUUCGACAGACAUCAUACCGUAUUAUGGCCAAUAUGAAGAGGAAGAGGGAAGGGAAAGUGAAGAUGAACAUGAUGAAUAUGAUGCUUCUGGCAACAUACCAGGUUGUGGAUUAAUUCCCCGGUUUUGCUUAAAGAAUUCUUUGUGCCUCUUAGAUCCGGUGCCAGGGAUGAAAGUAAGGACCCGGGUUCCCAAAUCUUCUGCCCGAGUUGUUAAAAAACUGUCCAAGCAUGCAUAUGUCAGAGAUCAUGACCGAAUUGUUACAAAGGUAACUGCUGGAUUAUUGUGUAUUUCUUUUUAUCUUUAUUUGCUUUUUUACCAUUCCAUAUUCUGGUUCCAACUGGUAUUGAUGGAUGUUCCCUGGUGGUGAUGCUGUGUACAAGCAGAAUGCUUGGGAUGCUUUUCGUCGGAACCAAUUAGAUUAUGAAGUCCAAUCAUCUAAGCUGCAUGAAGUUGGGAAUAUGAUGACUGUGGAAUCCAAUUGUACCUAUUCCAGUGACUCACAAGCAACAGAUGGGUCAUCUCCCCACAGACACUCAAGUAGCGGCGGUGGCAUAUCUCCAUACAGGAAUGAAGCACCUCACUCUCCCUUUCAUGAAGGAAUGGGGUUCCUUGGUGUACCUAUAGAAGUUGACAAUUUCAAGGCUGAUAGGUUAAUUUUUUAUAGCCAAGCCUGUAAGAACUUUUCGGAGAUAUUAUCCCCCGAAGAAAAUAAACAAGGGCCAGGCUCAGUUAGCCCCAUAGUUGAGAAAACAUUGUACAUAGAUUCUGUAGAUGUUGCAGAAUUUCAACAUCCAAGUUAUUCUGACACCAAGGAGCUGAUGGACACUGCUGGUUUAGAUUUUGGGACCUUGGUAGAAAGAAGAGGAAUAGAAGAAGCUUCUAGUGCGGAAUCUUCUUUUCAAGAUAUAAGAUGCCUGAACAUUUCAAAGGGGGGCAUAUUGAAAUUAAAAGCCCCUGGAUCUGUUGACUCCCUGCCUUCAUCCUCUGACAUACCACAUAUCAAUAGCCAAGAAGACACACUGGACAGCUUUAGACUGGAUCAAGGUCUCGAUCAGGAAUUUAGGUCCUUGGAAUUCUCCAAAGGGCCUAUUGAUGGAAACCUAAGUAUGAACAAUGAGCAGAUUCUAAAAGCAGAUGAUCAAGUUGAUUCAAAUGUCACAUUCUUACAGUCCCCUGUUCCCCCAGCCUUACCAAAGUCACCUUCUGAGUCUUGGCUCUGGCGUACUGUUUCUUUGCAGAAACCACACCAAAGAAGCAAGUUUCAUCCUAGAAAGCAGGCUCCCAAGACUUCCUCCACGGAUACAAAGUGGGAAACCAUUGUAAAAACUUCUAAGUUGCAUUAUGAUCAUGUACGCUAUUCUGAGGUAACUUCAUUGCCACCCUGAGUCUUUAUAUAUAUAUAAUUUUGUGAUCAAGGAUUUAUUGGUGAGAGACCUGAGAUGAACUAAAAAUUCCUUUUACCUUGACAGGAACUAAUUGCUCAUGUUCCUCAGCUACCCAAAACUUGAAAGUGCUAGGAUCCCAUGAAGUCCUUAUUCACAAUAUUAGGAUGUUUUUAUCCAAUAUUGUCAAAGGUAAUUGUAAUUUUCCAGAGGUCCCCUUACCCUAUUGUUCUCACUGAUGUUAUGUUAGGUAUAGUGGAAUUCAGUGUGGUUAUUUCUUAUUUUGUCAACAGAAGUUUAUACUUACUGUCCAUUCCUUCUCUUACAUCAGAAUGAGGCUGAGGUGGUAGUCAUAUAUUGGAUCAAAUUUUGUUUGUUGUAAUGCUCAUUAAAUUUUCUUGCUUCAAUCUGGUUUCUUUGUUUGCCUCACAUGUCUGUAUUUUCAUAAAAGAAUACCCCUUUUUGGUUGUGAAUGAAGAUGCUGCUUCCUUGGUAGCUUACAGAUUUCACUAGUGUAAUUAUGUGAAAUAUCGGAUUCUUUGGAGCUCUUUGCCUAUGAGGCAAUGUGGGAGAUAGUACUGUCCGUGUACUCUGCCAAUUUUGUUGUUCAAUCGAUUUUAGGCGAUUCAGAUGCUCUUUUAUUUCAUGUUAAUCUUGGGGUAGUGAAUGGCGGCGUUCUUGCCUAAGAGGAUGCUAGAAUUGGCACCGAAGCCAAAUUGAUAGUGAAGGUGAACAUUAUCCAAGAAAAAGAAAAGUAUACUUUAAGGUUACAGGGCAAACAAGGGUAGUUUUGCCGCUUUUAAUUUUUUCCAACAAUUUUGUUUAAUGUUAGGGAGAUUUAUUGGUAUAUAUGUUAGGGAAAUCCCAUGGUUUUAAAAACUGAUCGGACUGGUCUGUCCGACCGGUCACGGUUUCGGUUUGGUCCGGAAAAUUGGACCAAAAAGUGAUCGAAUCGGUAUCGAACCGCUUGAACUAGCGAUUCGACCGAUGAACCGAACGAACCGGUCGAUUCAAUCAUUUUUUAUUUAUUCCCAACAACUCAUUUUCCUUCCCAUCCCCUCCCCCCAAAGCCCCCCACCAUCGGCAUGCCUUCCUCGCCUUCCAUUUUUGUUUUUUAAAAUUUAAUUUUUAUGUUCUAUAUUUAAUUUCUUAAUUUUUUGUUAUUAUAAUUGUAAUGAUAUGUUUGAUAUUUAAUUUUUUUUAUUUUUGUUUUAUUUAUUGCACAUUGAAAUUUUAAUUUAUUGAAAUUAUUGAAAAUAUUGGGUUGAUUGACAUCUAUCAAUAGAAAAUUUUAUGAAAAAACUCAAUAAACAGUGUAGAUGUUGUCAAAAUUUAGAUAGAGUUUAUUAUUUUUAUUUAUUAAUUUUUUUAAUUUUAAUAAUAUUUAAAAUAUAUAUUUAUGACAUCAUCAGUUCGACCGUUCUGAUUCCGUCGAUCCGACUAGUGAACCGUAAUUUUUUUUUUAAAUUUUAAUAAUAUAUAAAAUAUAUAUUUAUGAUAUUACCGGUUCGACCGCUGAUCCGACCAGUGAACCAUGAAUUGGUAACUUUUCUAAUUCAAUUAUUGAUCCGGUUUUAAAAACAUUGAGAAAUCCAUAACGGCUACCAUGCCCUUAUAAAUUAAGUUUUUUUUUUUUUUUUUUUACCAUUUUAAAGUUGGAAGAAAAAAAUUUCAAAAUAAAACCCUCUAUUUUCUUUAAAUUUCUUCCACCAAUGAGAUUUGGGUGGUUUACCUAAUGGCCUUUUUGUUAAUGUGUUCAGCAAUUGGAUUGAUGAUAAUUUUAAAAUAAAUUAUUACAGAAAAUCAUAUCAGUACAGAUUUAAAAUUUCAAAAAUCUUGAAAUUGAAAUGAUCUCAAUCUCAAUAAAAAGUAAAUAGUAUUUUAUUUAAAUCAAAAGGUUAAAAAAUGGUUGGUGGUCGGGUGUGGACCUUAAAAGCUCUCGUUACCAAUAGAACAAAACUUUAAACUUUUCUGACAAGAUAGGGAGUUCUCUUUUCUAAAUUGGUAAGGUAUACUUUAGAUUAAGGAUAUGGAAAGCCUUAUGCCUUUGUAAUGUUAAAGGAAUACCCUACUUUACCAAUAGAGAAAUAAAAUUAAAUUUGUCAUUAUAUAUAUUAUGAUUCUUCCUUUUUUUCAAGGAUGUUUUAAACAUGUUAAGAAUACAUUUAAAUUCCAACAGGUUUUACCAUUUAGCUCUGCUGAUAUAAAUUGCAAUGUUACCUUGAAUAGAACUGCUAAAAGUUUUCCAUCUCUUGAUUCUGGAAUGGGGAAUAUAAACUUUGUGACUGGAUAGCAAGGGACAAUGGUUUUAGGAAUAUUGAGUUUUGGGCUUUAGUCUGUCAUGUUGCCAUAGCCCAUCAGCCCCAGCAUCAUGCAUUGCUUUGGCUAGCUCUUCAGGCCUGGCUCGUACUGGUACACCGUAUCCUGCAACUUCUGAAUACACUGGAUUCUUUUCCUAGGAUGGCAUAUUGGUUGAUGAUAUAAAUAUAUCUAUCAAAUUGAGUCAUAUUUAAGCAUGUAUUUCAAUGUACAUAGCAUGUGAAUCUACCCUAUGUAAACUGUAUGGCCGGUUUUACCGCUAUGCUAAACUAAUUUUAUUCCAACAAAAGGGAUUAAGAAGACAAUUACUUGAAAGUUCACUUCUAUGCUUUCUAGAUAUGGUCAAAUAUUCUAAAUACUCAAGCUCAAAUCAGCCUUGCCGGUGGUUGUUUGUGAAGGCCAGGCAUUUGUUUGAGUUUCUUCUUUUUGUUUCUCAGUAGGUUGUUCUUGCUGCCUUGAGGAAUACGGAGACAAAGAAAGCAUGGUAUUCAUUUCAUACUUGCUUUUGUGGUGGGUGUCUUCCUCAUUUGCACUUCUUUGGCUCAGUCUCAGUUGCAAAUCAGGCAACCAUUCCUCCUCCUUCAAUCUCUUCUCCUGAUUCGACUGCAUUUCAAAACAUAAAAUACAAAUGAAGAGCAGCACUAUAAAUAUCAUCCAAAAUUUCCAUGAAGAACUCUGAUACACGAAGAGUAGCAUUCCAUGAAGAGCCAUAUUUUCUGAAACUUACUAGUAGAUUAAUUGUUAAAAUACUUGUACCAUGGAUGACAUGUUAAAUGAAUCAGAUUCCAAGAGGUUACCUCAAGCCGAAAUGGCGGCUCAAUUUGUGGUGUGGAGAUACUGGAGAUGGUUUUAGGAUAAUGCAAGUGUGAUUGAAAUUGCCCAAGUCUUUCCUCAUUUGCAGGGCUCCAUUCAGACGGCUUCUUGCUGUAUGUUAGCGUUGCUCCAACACACCUUGGAGUAGUACAAAUUUGAUGCACUAGAGAUUGGGAGGCAGCAUUAGUCCUGGUCUUCUCCCUCCACGGAUUUCCAAUCAAUUCCCGUGGAGGCCACUUCUUUUCUUCAAGAAAUCUGCUAGGUCUAGUGGGUCUAUUUUGUGCAAUUGCCUCCAAAACAUGAUUCGGGUUUGAAGUUGAUGGCCUGUUUUGAGUAUGGAAAAUCAUCCUUUCAACCAACCCGUUGCCUUGUCCGAAAUAUUGUUUGCUCUGUAGUGCACUAGUACUUAAUCUUAACGCAUUAUAGUACUGACUGGAAGCAUACUGUUGCCGCCUAUUUGGGUGUGAGUGAAAGGCUAAUCAAGAAUAUGAAACAAGUUCUUUCAGGUUUCUUAUAAUUGAGUUUAAGCAGUUACCUUGAAGAGUUAGCUCUGAAAUCAUAUUGUUGUUGAGAGAGGGUGCACCGCAAAAGAUUGUAACUACGACUGCACUCACCAGGGUUCCAAGCUUGCUCCAUUCCACUCUUCUCCAUGCUGAAAUGUCGGCAAGAACCGGUUGGUCUGAACAAAAUUCCAGGAGAGCAAUCACGAUCUCGAUCUCUUCCUCCCAUUCGUCUAUAUGUUUUACAUAAUACUGUACAAAGGAAGCAACAUUUGAAGAAUUGGUAAGAUUAUGCUCCCACUCCUUUUCAACUUAAUCCUUUAAAUCCCAUAUCAUUGUUAUUUAAUUGAGGAUUUUUCAACUUAAUCCUCUAAUUCCAUAUCAUUGUUAUUUAUGUUGGAUUAGGUUUCUUUUUCAUGUGGAGGAUGGACCAAAUAUGUCAAAUCCAACAAAGCCCAUAUGAUAUGGGCAUUUUUGUCUUUUGGUAUAGGGUUUUUUUAGAACCCCUAAAAAGAUUCAUGUCUUAGAAUACCAAGUGAGAGAAGAACAGUUGUUGGUUUUGAGAGUAAAAAGUCUUAUGUCUCUUGAUUUUGGUUGGUCGGAUUAGUGGUCGAAACAGUCAACCGUAAGUUAUAAUCAUCUGAACAAAGCAGGAUGGAAAAGAAAAAGAGAACAUUUCUAUUAUUUACAGUUUUCAUCAAAGAGUAAUAUCUCUUUGAUCCCUAGUCUGAUUGAGGUAAAAUUUUAACAAAAUGUUCAAUACUCAUGGUAUGUCAAUCUAAACGGUUAGAUCGUUGAUCAGAGUUUUUUGAAUAGAUUAGUAUACCCGAAUAGAAUACCGAGUUUGUGACUUCUUUAUUUCACUCAUUUAUUGUUUGAUGUUUAUGUUUGUGAAGUUAAGAAUUUUUGCUCUUGAUAAUUGUUGUUUUUGAUAGUCUCUGAUUAAUGUUGGGACAAAUUGUAUACUCUCACUUUUGUUGAUAGUGAAGUUUUUGAGUUGACUUCGGUCUAGUGGUUUUUACUCCUCACAUUAAGGAGGUUUUCUACAUUAAAAAUUUUGGUGCAUGUGUAUAGUUGAUUCUUGUUGAUAAACAUUACUAUGAUAUUGUGUUUUUAUGUUACUUUCUUAUUAAACGCGCACAUAGGGAGAAAAUUUGAUUGAUCCUUCGUUGCGUGUUGAUUUUUCUCCUAACAAAGUGGUAUGAGAGCUUUGGUUGCUUCUGUUGUGUUGAAGAAUGAAUGUUAGUACAAAUAGAAUAGUGAGCUUAAAUGACUCAAAUUAUGCCGUGGAAAGAUAAAAUGGAGGAUUUAUUGUAUGUGAAGGGUUACCAUCAACGAAUGUUUGUCAAAGUAAAACAUGUUGACAAAACUGAUAAGGAAUGGACAUUGCUUUACAGGCAAGUGUGUGGGUAUAUUUGACAAUGGGUAUAUAACAAUGUGCUAAACCAUGUUAGUGGUGAGAAGCAUGCACGCACAUAGUGGAUCAAAUUUGAAAGGUUGUAUUCUCAAAAAACCGAAAACAACAAAAUGUAUUUGAUGAAAUGGUUGAUUCUUUUGAGAUAUCAUGAUGAUACUCCUAUGAUCGAUCACUUGAAUAUAUUCCAAGGUUUGAUAAAUUAGUUGGUUGUAAGGGAGGUAAAAUUUGAUGAAGAGGUACAAGGCUUAUGGAUUUUGGGCACUUUGUCAGAUUCUUGGGAGACAUUUAGAAUGUCAUUGUUUAAUUCAACUCCAAAUAGUGAGAUGAUAAUGGAAAUUGCUAAGAGUAGUGUUCUAAAUGAAGAGAUGAAAAGAAAAUUACAAUGUUCCUCCUCACAAUCAGAUGUACUAGUUACUAAGGCACGAGAAAGAAGUAAGAUCAAGGAUCCAAAAAACAAGGAAAACAAUAGAAGUCCAUAAGCAGAUUUGUUAAUGUUGAGUAUUAUCAUUACAACAAGAAUGAGACAUAUCAAGAAAUAUUGUAGAAAGUUGAAGAAAGAAAAUAAGAAAAACAGAGAGAAAGAAAAUGAGAACAAUAGCAAUGAUGAAGAUUGCAUUGCCAUUACUAUAGAAGACUUUCUACUAAUAUAUGAUAAUGAUAUGAUCAAUUAAACAUGUGAUGGGACCAACUGGGUAAUUAAUAGUGGUGCUACUAUUCAUACUACAUUUUGUAGGGGUUUCUACACAUCCUACACACCCGGUGACUUCGGAGUUGUAAGGAUGGACAACAAUGGUGUGGCUAAGGUUGUUGGCAUGGGUAAUGUUUGGUUGGAAACCCAUAAUGGUAUGAAACUAUUUCUUAAAGAUGUAAAGCAUGUUCCAAACAUUCGGUUAAACCUUAUCUCUACCAAUAAGCUUAACAACGAAGGCUACUAUAAUGGUUUUAGUAAUGGUCAAUGGAAGCUUACUAAGGGCUCUUUGGUCAUAGCAAGGUGCAAAAGGAAUCCUAAUAUGUACAUGAUCCAAGCUGGACUUUCUAAGGAUGUCAUUCAUGCUAUUGAAAAUGUGGAUACAGUUUAGUUGUGGCACAAGAGACUUGAUCACAUGAGUGAGAAAGGAAUGAUGGUAUUGUCCCGAAAGAAUCACUUAUUUGGGAUGACAAGCACAUGUCUAUAAAAGUGUGUUCAUUGCUUGGCAGUGAUGCAAAAUAAAGUUGCUUUCAAGGCACAUCCUUCUUCUUUAAAAAAUGAGAAUUUGUUUGACUUGGUCCACUCUGAUUUGUGUGGUCCAAUGAAAGAACAAACACUUGGUGGUUCACUAUACUUUGUGAGCUUUAUUGAUGACCAUUCAAAGAAGAUUUAGGCAUACACAUCGAGGCAUAAGGAUCAAGUAUUGGGAUAUGUUCAAGCAAUUUCAGGCUUCGAUUGAGAGAGAAACUAGAAGAAAACUAAAAUGUAUUCAAACUUAUGGAAAAGAAUAUUUAGGGCCAUUUGAUGAGUAUUGCAAGCAAUAGGGUAUCCACCAUCAGAAGACUCCUCCAAAGACAUCAUAGUUGAAUGGUUUGGCUGAAAAUAUGAGUAGGACAUGGGUUAAGAAAGUGAGAUGUUUGCUUUUACAAGCAAGGCUGCCUAGAUCUUUUUAAGGUGAGGCUUUGAAUACAGUGGUUCAUGUGUUGAAUCUCUCACAUUCUGUUCUUUUGUGGUUUGAUGUGCCAAAUAGAGUUUGCAUAGGCAAAGAUGUUUCUUUCGAUAGAAGGCCUUUGUGCACAUUCCCAAAGAUCAAAGGUCUAAGCUUGAUGUGAAGACAUGCUAAUGUGUAUUUGUGGGUUAUGGCCAAAAUGAAUUUGGGUACAGAUUGUAUGAUCCAGUUAAUAAGAAGUUGAUUAGAAGCCGAGACAUUGUAUUUAUGGAAGAUCAGAUAAUAACGGACAUUGAUAAGAUGGAGAAAGUAGAAUUUGGCAAUAAUGACAAGUUGAUUGACUUGGAAAUGAUUUCCCCAACACUAAUGGCAAAUCAACUUGAUGUUAAGACACAAAAUGGCCAACAUGGUGCAGGUGAUGAUUCAGAACCUGUAGAGGUUAGAAAUUCUAAUGAUGUCCUUGACCAACCACAAAUACCACAAGCUACUCACAUAGACCCACCUAGACGGACUACCAGGAAUCAUCAAUCUUUCACUAGAUACUCCCAUAGUCUCACAUUGAGGAGGUUUUCCAUGUUAAAAAUCGCAAUGCAUACAUAUAGUUGAUUCUUGUUGAUAAACAUUAUUGUGAUAUUGUGUUUUUCUAUUACUUUCUUAUUAGACACACACACAUAGGGAGAGAUUUGAUUGAUCCUCCAUUGCGUCUUGAUUUUUCUCCUAACAAUUUAAUGGAGGAAGACUACAAUCAUUAAAUUUGUUUCUAUUAAAAAAUUUAGCUAUAUAAUCAACAUUCAACAUGGACUCCCAAAUGGUAGAGCAAUUGUUUAAGAGACAUAAAAGACUUUGAUAUCCCACAUCUGGUGGGGGAAAAUUUUUAUGACAUUAUAUGUAUAGACUUUUUUUAAUCAUGUAGACGUAUUUUAAAAUCAUGAGCAUUCUCUAAGUUCAUACUUCAAAACAAAUAAUAUCAACAUACCCAUGGAUAUCUAUGCAAAGUAACUAACAUCAACCUGAUUUUUUCGAAAUUAGAGUUAUUAUACGCUUGUGGCAAUCACCCCAGCUUCUUUCCAAUUAUAGGUUUAUGGCAAUCUUCUAGAUUCUUUCCAGGUCCACAGUUAUCCCCGUGGUCCAUGGAUUCAAAAUUCCUAGAAGAUAAAAGUUGGUGUUUUUAUUCCUUCCCUUUUUCAAGCUUUACCCCUAUUCCACACAUUUCCGGUUUCCAGCACCAUUGAAAAGAUCCAAAAGAUACCACUACUUUACCUUGUCCUGAUUCAUCAAGCCUUUUACUUCGAUACAUCUGCGCAUAUUUUGAAAGUGCAUUGUCAGAAUAAGAGAAAGUAGCCAAAAGAAGAAAGAGAAGCAGCAAAAGAGAAAAAAAACACUAAAAAAGUGCCGCGAAAACAGAAACUAUUUCAGAGAAUGUGAGUGGAACCCUAUCUAGUACCUGCAAGUGGCUCUUUACAUGGGCAAUGCUAAGUCCUUUCACAUUCAUCAACUCAAGAACCAGCUUUGGAGUCGCUCCUGGGAUUCUCGAAAAGAAAGUACUACUUUAAAGCGAAGAAUAUGAUGAAUGGCAAUAUUGGAUAUUUAAUGCGAAGAAUUUAAGUUUUAUAUAUAAAUUAGAACACAAAUUUCACUAUAAAAUUCAAUAAUUUUAAUAAUUUUUUAAAAAUAAAAUUCAAAGAGUUCAAUAAAUUUUAUAGAGAAUUUUUAGCGUUUUUUUUAAUAGCCAAAUAUAAAUAAGUUGAAAGCGAAGAAGCAUUUUAUUAAUUGAUUGUUUAUAAUAACACUGUCAUUAAAUAACACUAAAUUUAUAAAAUAAACAACAUAAAAUUUAAUAUGAAAUAAAAAUAUUUUAAAAUUUUAAAAUUAAAAACCAAAGAGUACUCCCAUGCAUUAAGAAACUUUUUCAAUAAAAUAUUAAAUACAAAAUUGUAAAAAAAAAAAUCAAUAUUACUUGAAGAACUCAUGAGAACAAAAAAAAAUUCUCAUAUAUUGAAAUAACAACAAAUAAAUUACAAUAAUGAUUUCAAUUGAUUUUGUACAAUGUUUUAUUUCUUUCUAUAAAAUUUUAUCGAGAUCAGUAAUAUUUAAUUAUAAAUGUUUUUUAUCUUUUGAAAAUUCCAGGUUUUAAGAGGACAAGAAAGAAAGAAAGAAAGAAAAUUCUAGUGAGGAAGAAUGAACAUGGAGUAUCUUUAAGGUAAAACUUACUGGCCUGUCCACCAAGCCUCUCAACAGCAUGCACAAAAGAGAGAUGGAGGUCAGGAGUCCACCGGAGUCGAGGCAUUUUUGAUCGAACAUACUGCCUAACUGAGUUUUUCCCUCGACGUUUUUCCCCAGCAGAGACAUUAUUAUUAUUUGCUGAACUCCCUUCUCUUUCUCCUUCAUCAUCCUCCAUGCUCACUUCAGCUUCAGCUGCAGCGUCAUCCUCUGGGGAGUUGGAUUCUUCAUUCAAGUCAAAGGAGGUGUUUUCUGUUUCCUCCUGCUUGCUUCCAUCAUUUUUUUCUUCAUGGAUAAAUAAUCUCUCUGUCAUGGCUACUCUUGCUCCUUCAUGUAAAACACUUCCCAAUAUUGUAGAUUUUUUUUUACAGUUGCAUUUCGCUGAAAGACAUGGAGAGGAGGAGAGCAUGUGGGAAAAUGUGAAGUACAAUCAAGAUUUGAGGAAGCUGGGAGAGGAGAAAAAUAGCCAUAAUGCUUAUCUGUGGAAAUAACUAGACAAAAUUCACUUUUAGCAGUGUAGGAUACACAUUAUAUUCUCUCCUCUUUUUUUUUUUCUCUUUUUUUGUUGAAUUAUCAUUUUAACCUUUCCGUCUAAAUUCAUAUCGUUUUCAUGGAAAUGAAUAAAAGGUAACCAUGAGUGUGCAUUCUCUUGAAAUGCUUCUACAUUUAAGUGGAAGGCAUAUCCAAUGUGUGUGCCAAGAUCCAUUUAUAAUUUAGCCUAGCUCAUACUAAACCCUAAAGAGGUUUAUAUCUAGAAAUUAUAAUAGCUUUAAGUUUUUGAUUUGACCAUAGUCUAACCACAUGCACCAAAAUAAUACAUUAAAAUUGUGUAAUUUAGUUAAGAUUGUGCACUAAAAUUUGUUGUGUUGGCAAAAGUUGUAAUAGUGCUUAUCGUGCAAAUGAAAAUUUAAUGCUAACAUAUCAGUGUAAGAAAAAAUAAUCCACACAUAAGGAUAUGUGAGAUUUUAAUGUGAUUCAGCCAAUCGGGAUUAUAUUAACAAAAGAGAAAAUUAUUUUAUUACACGAUAGUGAUUAUCAUAAAAUGAAAAACCAAAUAUAACUAUAGAGCUGUGUAAUAUUCUGUGUUUCCUAAUUCAUGCAUCUACAUUUGAACUAUGAGCCCUCACUCCAUCGAAUAUUACAUAAUCUUCCUUAGGUCCUUGUGUGCUUGGUAUAUGUUUUAGAUCUACAUCUCUAUUUCAUAAAUUUUUCCUUAUGAUCUCGAAUAUUUAAAGAGAUAUUAUAAGCGAGUAUAAUAUUAUAAUAAUAAAUUAACAUAAGAAGUAUUCUUUACAAAAAGAAAUAUAUUCCAUUUUGGAAUUGGGGACACUUCCUAAGAAUAUUUACUUUGAAUCAAAUUCCAUUGAGUAAAUAUUUCAUCUUUCUAUAAUAUUCGUAUUGUAUAUCAAAUUUCAAUGAUAGAACAUUUCACUUCACUUCUAACCAAAAUUCUUUCUAUAAUCUUCUUAGACUUUUUUAGCUCUUUCAAAAAUCUUGAUCUAAGCUCUAAUACCACUUAUUGUGUAAGUGGAAGCUUAAAUACAAUUUAUUAUGCAGAAUCUUCAAUGUUAACAUAUUAGUACAAGAGUGUAAAGAUAAAAAUAAGAAUAUAUGUUUUAAUAUAGUUUAGCCAAUCACGUUUACAUCCAUGGAUACUAAAGAGCAUUUUACUAUACCAUAGAUAAUAUUACAAAUGAUAAAGUUAUUAAGUCCAAAACAUCACAUGCAUGUUUCCUUAUUUUUUAUAUUUAUAUCUUGACCAUAAGCCCUUGUUCCAACAAGUGUCACCUACAAUACCUCAAAUCUCUAUAUAGUUGAUAUAGGUUUUAUAUUUUUAUUUUGUAACUUUUUCUGUUACCACCUAAAAUAUUUAUAAAAAUAUUGUUAAUUAUUUUUCAUCUUUUAUAAGAUAUGUUUUAUAACUUUUCCCGUUCAUGACCGAGUGUAUUAUAUGUUUUCCUAGUUAGCUUUUUUUGUCAUACUUGUAAAUAAUAAUAAUAAUAACAACAAAAAGGAUGAUACUCAAUCAGAGAUUGUAAUUGCUAUUCUCUGGACUCUUUCAUCUCAUUGCUGUGGAUGCAAAGUUUAGGUGGGCGUAAUUUUUAGGUGGAUGUUUAACUGUAGAAACUUAAUGGCGAGCGCACAACAGUAGCUAGGACAUUAAUUUAUUAAUAAAUCCUUUUCAUAAAUCGAACAUGUCAUCCACCCAUAUGUAUAAAUGGAAGUAGCUUCGGAAUAAAGAAUUGAAUGUUGAAAAUUUAUGUAUUUUCCAGUCAAAUAGAAAUUAAUCAUGAUCAGACAAAAACAUUUCCAUACUAAAGAGUUAAAAAGAAAAAGUCUCAUGAACAAAAACUAAAUGUCUACUAAAAGAGUGCAAUCUAUAUAUUCCCAAGACAAUUGAGAAAAAAAAGAAAAAAGAGAAAGAAAAAAAAGGCCAUUAUAAUCAUAUGAGACUUACAUGUAUAGACAUAGAUCAAUAGUCCUAAAUUAAAGAUACUAUAUGUUCCCAACUCUUUAUAAACCACUCAAGUACUAUCUUUAGAAAUUCUGCAAAAGAUUUCGAAGAUGUAAAUUGUAUAAUAUUCUUGAGAAAACACUUAAGAGGAUACAAAAUAUCAACAGAUGUUAGUAGCUGGAAAGCCUCAUGUCCUUUUUCUAGAACAUGUUACACAGGAUGUUGCAGAUCUAGUACAAAAGUUGGGAUAACAUUAACGGAAUUAAUGCAAAAAUUAUUCAUCCUGAGCGAUUAACUUCACAAUUGAACUCAUCAACAGAUACUUGUCCUCCUAUUUUGUAGUUUUAGUGUCAGUAUCUACAGAAGCUAUGUUACUAGCAACAACUUCCAAACAAGAAGAAAGCUACUUUAGAUAAUUACAAUGUCGAACAAACAUUGAUUUUAGUUAAUAUUUAGGCACAUAGCAAAGGUUUGUCAGGAGGAAAAUAUUUUCCAAAUUGACAAAAUUCAGUGUGUUGUUCCUCAAAAUCGUCAUCUUAUGUGAUUAACUCUCAAACAACUAUUUGGAUAAUGGAUAUUUUGGAAUGAUAUUGCAGAAUUUAGGUCAAAAUCAUAUGCAGGAAAACAUAUUUAGUGACCUGACCAUAAUUAUAUCUAGUAAGGGUUUGAAGGAACUGGCAGAUAAAUCAUGUUUUGUUGCUUCUGAAAAUUCUUAGAUUGAUGAUUUGUCAAAUGAUCAUAAUUGAUAGUUGAAACCCCCCCAAAAAGGUUUGAAUAACUAUAUAUCCAGGUGAAGAAUCUUGCUAUUAGAAGCACAGUAUUGUGAGUAAAUCAUAUAUAUAAGCUAAAAAGAAGGCACUUAUACUUCAGAAAAGCAAAGAAAUUUCUCUUCCCGGACCAGCUAAUACAAACCAUUGUUGAUGAAGAAGAUGCUUUGAUCCUCCUUCCAGAUUUUUUAUCAGUUGAUCAAUCUUUAACUGUUGAUUCAGACAUAUCUCUGGACCGAUCCUUCCAUACCCACGAAAACCUAGAAUGCAAAGUUAAAAACAGGUGGACUGAUCGAAAAUGAAUCAAUCCUUGAACAACUGUUAAAAAUAGAGAGAGGGAGAGAGAGAGAGAGAGAGAGAGAGGGAGAGGGAGAGAGGAAGAGAGAGAGAGAGAGAGAGAGAGUAUUGCUUGAGAAGUUUUUGUUUGAUUCAACUGUGGAAUUAAAUUGAAAUGGCAAUAGUCAUCAGAGUUCUGAUAUUCUUAGACUUUGACGGUUUAAAAAAAAAUGAUGGGAUAGUAUCCACCUGUUCUCUUUAUAAUGAAAUAAUAAUAACAUUAUGAAUACAGCUGAGACCGGUCCCUUGGCCUGUUGUAGAUCAUGUGACUGCCUUUUCUCUUCAUCAUCCUUCUUUCACAGUUGUCCACGUAAAAUCUCUCUCUCUCUCUCUCUCUCUCUUUGGGACAUCUCCCAUUGUUUUUAUGAUAAACAAAUUCCAUUUUAUUAAUUGAUAACUUUCACAUGCAAGGUGGUCUGUACCAAACAUGGGACCAGUUCUUUCUCCAACCCAUCAAUUUUUCCCUACCUAAACCAAGACUUUCUUUCCAUAUCAUAAACCUAUUUUCUGUCACCAUGUUCCCAUUGUCGUUGUCCACAGUUUUAGUUUAUACUGCACAUGCUCUUAUGACUUUGAUACAUUGGUCUGAUUCAUAAAAAGAAACCAAACAUUGAAUAAAAACCUUGGUAUUGUAUGUGUGGGGCUACAAUGGUGGGUGAAAGUAGAAAAUUAUUGAAUCUUGAUAGGACUAUUGCAUGCUUUCAAACAAGAUGCCUUGAUCAAUGUCAUUUUUCAAACAUUUUUAAUUGCAUUUGCGAAGAAUAUUGCUUCUCUAGGUGCUCGUUUCAAUAAUUGAACUACAUUUUAGUCGGCAAAGUGGAUUUGAAACCUUGACUUCAACUUAUAGCCCUUCCCUGAAAAGUUUUAAAUUAGUCCAAUAUCAAACUACAAAUAUAUUACUCAAAUUUCAUGUAGAUAUGCAUCAUUGGUCAAACCCAGUUUGGCACCACAUAUUUCAUGCAAAAUCUUCCCAAGGAUCCGCCAUGAAAGGCCAGAGAUAUUCCAUCUUAAUCGUAAGAUUUUGUUCCUUAUAAUUAAUAUUCAAAGAACAAAGGGAUUUACCACUAGUAUUAAGUGCUUCAUCUACAAAUGUAAACGCAGUAGAAUAAAAAUAAAUAUUUUACAGUCUUGUAGGGAAGAAAAAGAACUUAUGAAGGAGUAGAAACCAUAUAGUUGGUACCAGGCUUCCAUUCAUUUGGAUUCAUAAAUAUGUAAGCUGUAAAUUGAUUGCUGAAGUUAUUAGUACUAUCAACUUCCAUGUGUGCACUGAUCAGCUGAGGGACGGAGGAAAACACACACUUAAAAGCUACAUUUGUCUCUUCGGAGACCAACAUAUAUAAAAAUUAAUUAAUUGGAUUUUAAUCAUGGUUACCCAACAAAUCUGAAAGCCCAUCAUAUUAGACAUUUAUGCAGAAAACACGGGAGGGCAACAAGUAAGAGAGACAUGUCAUGUCUCCCAUCCCUUUAGAUAUUCUCAAAUUGCAACCUUUGUUUAACCUUUUCUCCCACCAUCCAAAGGGUUUACUUUCCAAAGUUUGCUAGAGAGAAUUCGGAUUGUUUUGUCUUAAUUAUAUGACAAGUAGGGCCUUUUCUUCAGAGUCUUUGGGAAAGAAGAGGAAUCACUUCGAGGAUUAGGUUUGGCUAAAAGACACAUAAAAGUGGCUGUCAUUUGUGGCAUAUCCAUACUUUCUUUAGAGAAAGAGACAGAUAUUCCAAGGAUUGAAGUAAGAGUUUCAAUAACUAUAUAAAACUGGGUGGGAAGAAAGAACUUACGGGGUUUAAGAGGUUAUAAAAAUGGGGAAUCCCCAGUCCUACGUGCCUAGAAAAUUCUUAAUGUUUUGUCGUCUGGCGUGCAUGGGGGUUGACAUGAUCUAUUUUUUUCUUUAUGGCAUAUAGGAAUUUUCAAAGAAUUGCUUUUCUUUUCUAUCAUUUGAUGAAUGCGUGGUACAUAUGUGAAGACAUUCAACCUUGCAUCACAGCACAUCAUGGCUUUAAAAAUUUUGUUGGAGAAUAUUUUAAAUGCCCAUAAAAAAGAAUCCAUCAGCAACUUGUGUAUGUCAAUCAUUUCUGGCUAUUAUUUUCAUUACACAUGCAAAUAUGAAGUCUUUUCAAGCUCCUUAGGGACCAUUAAUCCAAAUGAAAAACUUUUUAUGUAAUUAAUUAAUUUGUAAAUGAAUAUUAGUGCUACAAAAUUCGAAUUUUUUGUAUUGAUGAUAAUUUAAUCAAGUGCUGAGAAGAAGGAACUGGGAAAGGUAAUUAGAUUAAUAAUCUUUAGACAAGUAAUUCCAUAUUUGCUGAACAGUAGAGUAUUGGCCCUGGCCCUAGGUUUUCGGAGCAUAGUGACAAACAUGUGAUCCCGCAGCUCGAUAUUAGUAGAUUCCUAAGAAAGCACUCUUACCCUAAUUAUGUUACCUAGCCAUCCUCAUAAUACAAGGAUUAGAUAUUGGUUUAUUAGCUUGUGAAAAAUAUCAUUGUUUAGGCUUAAGCAUAUAUACCUUUGGGCAUACCUUUUAAAAGGAGACCAUCCCUUCGGCCUCUUACUUCCUUGCUUUCCAUGUUGUCAGUAUAUAUUGAACCAUCCUAGGGAAUCUAGGGGCUGAGUAAAAUAUGUAUCCUAUAAGCUUAAGUUUUUAAGAAAAGUGGUAAUUUAACAUGAUAUUAGAGUUUGGUUUAACGGAAGGUUAUGCGUUCGAGCCUUUGUAAAUCUAGAAAUGGUUAUUUACAUUUAUUUGUCUCUCUAUUGCAGGUAUGGGGCCCUGAGGGAAAGUGUUAUUGGGUGGGAGGUCAUGAGUUCGAAAACCACUUCUCUGUAAUUUGUAUUUCCCCCAUUUAUUUCAUUGGAUAUGAAUUAUUGAACUCAAAUAUUACAACCUUAAACUUCUAAGAAAAUUGGUAAUUCAAGUUAGUAUCAGAACUUAAUUUGAUAAGAGAUCUAACUUAGUUUGGUAGGAGGUCUUGGAAAUAAGUCCAACUUUUACCUUUCUAUGUACGGGCAUGGGCCCUUCGAAGUUUUCACCACAAGGAAAAACAUAUAUGACCACCUUGGUAAUGUAUAAAAUACAUUUCAUUUGUUGCAUAAUGGAAAAUAACAUCAUAUUUUUCUAUCAACACUUUUAGAAGCAAUUAUACUUGCAUUUUUAGACACAUUUGACUAANNNNNNNNNNNNNNNNNNNNNNNNNNNNNNNNNNNNNNNNNNNNNNNNNNNNNNNNNNNNNNNNNNNNNNNNNNNNNNNNNNNNNNNNNNNNNNNNNNNNNNNNNNNNNNNNNNNNNNNNNNNNNNNNNNNNNNNNNNNNNNNNNNNNNNNNNNNNNNNNNNNCCCCCACCCCCCCCCCCCCCCACCCCCCCCCAU
rnacentral:lncRNA from 1 species